UACGAAGGGGGCUAGCGUUGCUCGGAAUGACUGGGCGUAAAGGGCGCGUAGGCGGGUUCCGAAGUCAGGCGUGAAAUCCCCGGGCUCAACCCGGGGCGGGCGCCCGAGACUGGGGGGCUGGAGUGGGGGAGAGGGUGGCGGAAUUCCCAGUGUAGAGGUGAAAUUCGUAGAUAUUGGGAAGAACACCGGUGGCGAAGGCGGCGACCUGGCCCUUUACUGACGCUGAGGCGCGACAGCGUGGGGAGCAAACAGG
rnacentral:rRNA from 1 species